UCUUAAUAUACUUAUUGUUGGACGAAAAAAAGGUUUCUUGAUAUUUUUGAAUCUUGAAUUGUAUCUUCGUGAAAGGAAUGUUGAAUUUCAAAAAACCACUGACUUAUUUGAAUCCUUGUUAUGGAGUCUAGAAAGUGGCUGUUCCCCGAUUAACUUAAUACCUAAGAACUUACUAAAAUUUUUACCCCCCUUUUUCUCCUAUAGGUAUACCUAUACAAAAAUAUGUCGAAUCCUUUCAGAAGCAUGACCUAAAAUAAAAAAAAUCUUUAGUAUCUAAACAAAAUCGAACCAUACCGUUCGGAAGUGAUUCAUAAAGAAAACUUUCAUUAAUUCAUUUUUUUCUUUAAUUUCAUUCGGGGUAAAAAAUUCUAAACUUUUUUAGCAGGGGUGGUAUUACACAACCCCCCCCCCUUUUUUUUCACAAAUGCUAAGUUCCGGAUAUCCAAUUUUGAUAUUAGAAGGAUUACC
rnacentral:lncRNA from 1 species